UAAGACAGGGGUCUCGAGCGUUAAUCGGAAUUACUGGGCUUAAAGGGUGCGUAGGCCGGCCCGCAAGUGACUUGUGAAAUCCCAUGGCUCAACCAUGGAACAGCUCGUCAUACUGCGGGUCUUGAGGAAGGUAGGGGUUGCCAGAACUGUAGGUGGAGCGGUGAAAUGCGUAGAUAUCUACAGGAAUGCCGAUGGUGAAGACGGGCAACUGGGCCUUUCCUGACGCUGAGGCACGAAAGCGUGGGGAGCAAACAGGAUUAGAUACCCUGGUAGUCCACGCCGUAAACGAUGCGCGCUAGAUCGGGGCGGCUCUGACGCCGGCUCGGUCGAAGUAAAAACGCUAAGCGCGCCGCCUGGGGAGUACGGUCGCAAGGCUA
rnacentral:rRNA from 1 species